GUCGCCACCUCGCGUCCCGCUAUCCCCGCGCACGCCGCCUCCGGCCCUGAGUCCCGGCCGCACCCGGCGCCGCUCACCUGCUUCUGGAUGUCCCGCACGCGCUGCUCGUGCAGGCGCGGAGCGCUGCUGAGCUUGAACACCACCCAGGCGCGCACGUAGUAGUAGAUAUCGAAGAUAAGCGAGAGCGGCAGGAGGAAGAGGCACACGAACACCCAGCGCUGGUGGAUGAGCACGAACUCCAGCCCCUUCAGGCGCACCCACAGCAGGAAGAGCAGCGCGCACACGGCCAGCGACACGGCGGGCUCCAUGGUGCGGCGCCGCGCGAGCAUAAACUCAGAGGACGCAGCUACUUCUCUCCAUGAAUAGGCUGUCUCCCAGGCACAGAAUUCCAGGAACCAGCAGGGCCUUUCAAGGUUGGUUUCAAGGGAAGAGUGUGUCCCUUGCAGGGUGGCUGGAGCCAGCUCCAAGAGCCUGAAAAAUCAUCUUGGCACCAAGUCUGAUGCAACUCUGGACCCAACAGGAAUCUUGGAGGAUUUGCCACAACCUUAGUCAUUCACCUUCAAAUCAUCCACACUGAUUCAGCCUCUCCUUCACUGAACAAGUAUUUAUUGAGCACCUACUAUGUGUAACCUUCUAGGCAAUAUAACUUUUUGGAUACAGCAGAUUAAACAAAGAUCACUGCAAUCACUAAAUGAAUAUCUUGAGAGGUGGAUUGUAAAAGAGACUUCUGUACUAUUUUAUGUGUACAUAGAAUCAAGUGGGUAUAGAACUUUGGUGUUGGAUGGACCUGAGUUUAAACACACUCUGUUCUGUGAUCUUGGUUAUUUGAAUUUCUCUGAGCCUCAGUUUCCUCAAUCCUUAGGUGGAAAUAAAAAUUCCUACCUUAUCCAGAAUCAGUUAAAUAUAGAGUUAGCCAUAUGACCAGCAAGUUCAUGCCUAAAUUACAUAACUGAGGGAAAUAAAAACAUAUUUUUUAUCUUUCACACAAAAACUAGUAUCUGAAUGUUCACAGCUGCAGUAUCCAUAAUAGCCAAAAAGUAGAAACAACUAAAAUGUCUGUCAACCAAACAGUAAGUAAACAAAAUGUUUUAUAUCAUACAAUGGAAUAUUACUCAGCAAUAAAAAGGAAUGAACU
rnacentral:lncRNA from 1 species